CUACAGCGGAUGCAUUCCAGACGAACUUCUACAACUAACAGAGCUCCAGUAGCCAGAUUUCUAUAGUGACCGAUUGUCUCCGAUGUCUUCUGUACCUCUCCAGCAACAACCUUCAGCGGUGCCAACCGAACUUCAACAGUGCCAACCAUACCCCUCCAACGGACAAAUUCCUUUCGAACCCCUCCAGCGGUCGACCUUCCAUAAUGUCCUCCAGACUCUUCCAGUGGACGAAC
rnacentral:lncRNA from 1 species